rnacentral:rRNA from 1 species
GAUGAACGCUGGCGGCGUGCCUAAUACAUGCAAGUCGAGCGAACAGACGAGGAACUUGCUCCUCUGACGUUAGCGGCGGACGGGUGAGUAACACGUGGAUAACCUACCUAUAAGACUGGGAUAACUUCGGGAAACCGGAGCUAAUACCGGAUAAUAUAUUGAACCGCAUGGUUCAAUAGUGAAAGACGGUUUUGCUGUCACUUAUAGAUGGAUCCGCGCCGCAUUAGCUAGUUGGUAAGGUAACGGCUUACCAAGGCAACGAUGCGUAGCCGACCUGGGAGGGUGGUCGGCCACACUUGAACUGAGACACGGUCCAGACUCCUUCGGGGGGCCGCCGUUGGGAAUCUUCCGCAAUUGGCGAAAGCCUUACGGGACAACCCCGCGUGAGUUAUUAAGGGUCUCCGAUCCUAAAACUCUGUUAUUAGGGAAGAAUAAAUGUGUAAGUAACUAUGCACGUCUUGACGGUACCUAAUCAGAAAGCCACGGCUAACUACGUG